rnacentral:rRNA from 1 species
GUAGGUGGCAAGCGUUGUCCGGGAAUUAUUGGGGCGUAAAGCGCGCGCAGGCGGUUCUUUAAGUCUGAUGUGAAAGCCCACGGGCUCAACCGUGGAGGGUCAUUGGAAACUGGAGAACUUGAGUACAGAAGAGGAAAGCGGAAUUCCACGUGUAGCGGUGAAAUGCGUAGAGAUGUGGAGGAACACCAGUGGCGAAGGCGGCUUUCUGGUCUGUAACUGACGCUGAGGCGCGAAAGCGUGGGGAGCAAACAGGAUUAGAUACCCUGGUAGUCCACGCCGUAAACGAUGAGUGCUAAGUGUUAGGGGGUUUCCGCCCCUUAGUGCUGCAGCUAACGCACUAAGCACUCCGCCUGGGGAGUACGGCCGCAAAGGCUGA